CGCAAGCCUGAUCCAGCGACGCCGCGUGAGGGAUGAAGGCCUUCGGGUUGUAAACCUCUUUCAGCAGGGAAGAAGCGAAAGUGACGGUACCUGCAGAAGAAUCCCCGGCUAACUACGUGCCAGCAGCCGCGGUAAUACGUAGGGCGCAGGCGUUAUCCGGAAUUAUUGGGCGUAAAGAGCUCGUACGCGGUUUGUCGCGUCUGCCGUGAAAGUCCGGGGUGCGGGGGGGGGGGGGGGGGUGGGUAGGGGCGGACUGGAGUGAUGUAGGGGAGACUGGAAUUCCUGGUGUAGCGGUAAAAUGCGCAGAUAUCGGGAGGAACGCCGGUUGCUAAGGC
rnacentral:rRNA from 1 species